ensembl:snRNA U6 U6 spliceosomal RNA
GUGCUCGCUUUGGCAGCACACAUACUAAAAUUGGGAUGAUCAGAGAAGAUUAGUGUGGCCCCUGCGCCAGGAUACGCAAAUUCGUGAAGCGUUCUGUAUUUUA